rnacentral:rRNA from 1 species
CUAACACAUGCAAGUCGAACGGUAACAGGAAACAGCUUGCUGUUUCGCUGACGAGUGGCGGACGGGUGAGUAAUGUCUGGGAAACUGCCUGAUGGAGGGGGAUAACUACUGGAAACGGUAGCUAAUACCGCAUAACGUCGCAAGACCAAAGAGGGGGACCCUCGGGCCUCUUGCCAUCGGAUGUGCCCAGAUGGGAUUAGCUUGUUGGUGGGGUAACGGCUCACCAAGGCGACGAUCCCUAGCUGGUCUGAGAGGAUGACCAGCCACACUGGAACUGAGACACGGUCCAGACUCCUACGGGAGGCAGCAGUGGGGAAUAUUGCACAAUGGGCGCAAGCCUGAUGCAGCCAUGCCGCGUGUAUGAAGAAGGCCUUCGGGUUGUAAAGUACUUUCAGCGGGGAGGAAGGGAGUAAAGUUAAUACCUUUGCUCAUUGACGUUACCCGCAGAAGAAGCACCGGCUAACUCCGUGCCAGCAGCCGCGGUAAUACGGAGGGUGCAAGCGUUAAUCGGAAUUACUGGGCGUAAAGCGCACGCAGGCGGUUUGUUAAGUCAGAUGUGAAAUCCCCGGGCUCAACCUGGGAACUGCAUCUGAUACUGGCAAGCUUGAGUCUCGUAGAGGGGGGUAGAAUUCCAGGUGUAGCGGUGAAAUGCGUAGAGAUCU